UACGUAGGUGGCAAGCGUUGUCCGGAUUUACUGGGCGUAAAGGGCGUGCAGGCGGUUUGUUAAGUCUAGGGUGAAAGCUCCCGGCUCAACUGGGAGAAGUCCUUGGAUACUGGCAGACUUGAGGAGGGUAGAGGAGAGUGGAAUUCCCGGUGUAGUGGUGAUAUGCGUAGAUAUCGGGAGGAACACCAGUGGCGAAGGCGGCUCUCUGGGCCCUACCUGACGCUGAGACGCGAAAGCGUGGGAGCGAAC
rnacentral:rRNA from 1 species